rnacentral:rRNA from 1 species
UCGGGAAUUUUGCUCAAUGGGGGAAACCCUGAAGCAGCAACGCCGCGUGCGGGAUGAAGGCCUUCGGGUUGUAAACCGCUUUUACCAGGGACGAUAAUGACGGUACCUGAUGAAUAAGUCACGGCUAACUACGUGCCAGCAGCCGCGGUAAUACGUAGGUGACUAGCGUUGUCCGGAUUUACUGGGCGUAAAGAGCGCGCAGGCGGUCGUUCAAGUCGAGUGUGAAAGCCCCCGGCUCAACUGGGGAGGGUCAUUCGAUACUGAUCGACUCGAAGGCAGGAGAGGGAAGCGGAAUUCCCGGUGUAGUGGUGAAAUGCGUAGAUAUCGGGAGGAACACCAGUGGCGAAGGCGGCUUCCUGGCCUGUUCUUGACGCUGAGGCGCGAAAGCUAGGGGAGCAAACG